rnacentral:rRNA from 1 species
AUGGGGGAAGCCUUAGCUCUCAAAUUUGGUUUAUCACUGGCGCAAAAGGCAAGAUGUAAUCGCCUUAUUAUUAACUCGGAUAACCUGGAGGUGAUUGAAACUAUGCAGGAUGAAGGACAAUCGGCGGGUGCGGCGGCGGCAAUUUUCGACGAUUGUUUUCAUUACGCCUGUGAUUUCGUUACUACUAGAUUCGGACAUUGUAAUAGAGAAGGAAAUAAAGUAGCUUAUGAGCUUGGUAGAUUAGCUAGAUUUUCUUUGACUGCUGAUUGGUUUGAGGAACCCUUAAAUGAAAUUGUAAUGAUCCUCACAAACGAUGUACUUCUAAUCUCUAAUGAAUAA